GCUGUCACUGCAAUGAAAUGAGCAGGAGAUACCCCUAAUAUCCCAAAUCCUGGUUCUUCCACCAGCCAGGGGUAAAGGAAUGAGCAGACACCUGCCGGGAGCAUGGGCUGUAAGCCUGACUCACAGGUCAGAGGCAAAGAAUGAGUAACACACCAAAUCUCAGCCUCCACUGAAGUGUUCAUUGGAUCAACCAGCUGACAUUUAGGACACUGGAGGAUCAAUGGAAAGACGGGAGCUGAGAAUUAGAAAAUGUCCAAGUCUUAGAUUCUCAAGCAGAGGAUCCCUGCUUGGCCCAUUUCUUACCGUGUUACCAGCCUUGUCAAAUACCUGGCAAGUUGCACCAGCCCUAGCAUUCUUCAACAGGUCCUUCACUAAGGCAGCCCUUCACUAUUAUAAAGAAUCUGAACUGAUGACAUGGAAAGAGUAAGGAAAAAACAGAAACAAUUCAAAACUGGUAAGCUUGAAAAGCAAAUAUGUUAAUUUUUAAGUCACCAGAGAAUACACCAGAUUCCUAAACAAGCCAGUUCUUCUUCUUCUUCU